rnacentral:tRNA from 1 species
GCCAAUGUAGCUCAGACGGUCAGAGCGCAUCCAUGGUAAGGAUGAGGUCCCCGGUUCAAUUCCGGGCAUUGGCUCCA